rnacentral:rRNA from 1 species
UACGAAGGGGGCUAGCGUUGUUCGGAAUUACUGGGCGUAAAGCGCGCGCAGGCGGUCUUCCAAGUCAGUGGUGAAAGCCUGGAGCUCAACUCCAGAACUGCCAUUGAAACUGUUAGACUUGAGUACGAGAGAGGUGAGUGGAAUUCCCAGUGUAGAGGUGAAAUUCGUAGAUAUUGGGAAGAACACCGGUGGCGAAGGCGGCUCACUGGCUCGUAACUGACGCUCAGGCGCGACAGCGUGGGGAUCAAACAGG